UGGGCAGUUUGACUGGGGCCGUCGCCUCCCAAAAGGUAACGGAGGCGCUCAAAGGUUCUCUCAGUACGGUCGGAAAGCGUACGUAGAGUGUAAAGGCAAAAGAGAGCUUGAUUGCAAGACAUACAGGUCGAGCAAGGAUGAAAAUCGGACUUAGUGAUCCGGUGGUUCUGCGUGGAAGGGACAUCGCUCAACGGAUAAAAGCUACCCUGGGGAUAACAGGCUUAUCUCCCCCAAGAGUCCACAUCGACGGGGAGGUUUGGCACCUCGAUGUCGGCUCAUCACAUCCUGGGGCUGUAGUAGGUCCCAAGGGUUGGGCUGUUCGCCCAUUAAAGUGGUACGCG
rnacentral:rRNA from 1 species